CCACUUCAGCUUGUUCAGGAUUGAUAAAGUGGACAUGGGUAUCAAUACCGCCAGCAGUAACAAUUUUACCUUCAGCAGAAAUAAUAUCUGUAGUAGAACCAAUAAUGAUAUCUACUUUAUCCAUAAUGUCAGGGUUACCAGCUUUACCAAUAGCAAAGAUAUAACCAUUUUUAAUACCGAUAUCACCUUUAACGAUUUUAUCAUAGUCGAUAAUAACAGCAUUAGUGAUAACUAAAUCUGCAACAUUGACAUCAUCACGUGUUACACGUGGGUUUUGUGCCAUACCGUCACGAAUAG
rnacentral:sRNA from 1 species